ACGAGACCGAUAGCGAACAAGUACCGUGAGGGAAAGUUGAAAAGCACUUUGAAGAGAGAGUUCAAGAGUACGUGAAACCGUUUAGGGGUAAACCUGAGAAACCCGAAAGGUCGAAGGAAGAAAUUCAUUCGCGUUUCGCCGCGGGCGUCGGGCGGUCGCGUGACGAGUAGCGUUCGCGUUACUCGCACCUUCCGUCCCUCGAAUCCGUAGCGAACGCGUGCACUUUUCUUCUGGUAGGACGUCGCGAUCCGUUGGGUGUCGGUCUACGGCUCGCGGUGGAGCCCGUCCGUCGUUUUUACGCACGGACGAACCCGCGUGUCCCGGCCGACCCGCUCGACGGUAUACGAAAGGUUCGAGGCCGCUCGCUUUAGGAGCGUUCGACUCGUGGCAAGCGCGCCAGAUGCGUCGGCGAUCGGACCCGGUGCCGAUUCUGACCUCUGGUGACUGUUGGCUACGAUGUUCUCGAACAGACCUCUGACCGAUCCGCGACGCUAUAGCUUUGGGUACUUUCAGGACCCGUCUUGAAACACGGACCAAGGAGUCUAGCAUGUGCGCGAGUCAUUGGGACUUACUAAACCUAAAGGCGUAAUGAAAGUAAAGGUCUUCCUCGCGAGGACUGAGGGAAGACGGGCGGUUCACCUUUAAAGUGGCCGCCCCGCAUUCCCGGGGCGUCUCGUUCUCAUUGCGAGAAGAGGCGCACCAAGAGCGUACA
rnacentral:rRNA from 1 species